UACGUAGGGUGCAAGCGUUGUCCGGAAUUAUUGGGCGUAAAGAGCUCGUAGGCGGUUUGUCGCGUCUGCUGUGAAAUCCCGAGGCUCAACCUCGGGCCUGCAGUGGGUACGGGCAAACUAGAGUGCGGUAGGGGGAGAUUGGAAUUCCUGGUGUAGCGGUGGAAUGCGCAGAUAUCAGGAGGAACACCGAUGGCGAAGGCAGAUCUCUGGGCCGUAACUGACGCUGAGGAGCGAAAGCGUGGGGGAGCGAACAGG
rnacentral:rRNA from 1 species